AGUGAACGCUGGCGGUAGGCCUAACACAUGCAAGUCGAACGGCAGCACAGUAAGAGCUUGCUCUUACGGGUGGCGAGUGGCGGACGGGUGAGGAAUACAUCGGAAUCUACCUUUUCGUGGGGGAUAACGUAGGGAAACUUACGCUAAUACCGCAUACGACCUACGGGUGAAAGCAGGGGAUCUUCGGACCUUGCGCGAUUGAAUGAGCCGAUGUCGGAUUAGCUAGUUGGCGGGGUAAAGGCCCACCAAGGCGACGAUCCGUAGCUGGUCUGAGAGGAUGAUAAGCCACACUGGAACUGAGACACGGUCCAGACUCCUACGGGAGGCAGCAGUGGGGAAUAUUGGACAAUGGGCGGAAGCCUGAUCCAACCAUACCGCGUGGGUGAAGAAGGCCUUCGGGUUGUAAAGCCCUUUUGUUGGGAAAGAAAAGCAGCAGGUUAAUACCCCGCUGUUCUGACGGUACCCAAAGAAUAAGCACCGGCUAACUUCGUG
rnacentral:rRNA from 1 species